GCUGGGCACAGUGGCGUGUGCAUGUAGUCCCAGCUACUCAGGAGGCUGAGGCUGGAGGAUCGCUUGAGUCCAGGAGUUCUGGAUUAUAGUGUGCUAUGCUGAUCGGGUGUCUGCACUAAGUUCAGCAUCAAUAUGGUGACCUCCCAGGAGUAGGGGACCACCACGUUGCCUAAGGAGGGAUGAACUCGCCCAGUCGGAAACGGAGCAAGUCAAAACUCCUGUGCUGAUCAGUAGUGGGAUUGCGCCUGGGAAUAGCCUCUGUACUCCAGCCUGGGCAACAUAGCGAGACCCUAUGUCUC
ensembl:misc_RNA Metazoa_SRP Metazoan signal recognition particle RNA